AGUUUUAUAGUGUAUAAAGCACACUUGGUUGCAAACUAAUUAGAGAUAUAAUAUCUAAAACUU
rnacentral:tRNA from 1 species